rnacentral:snRNA from 1 species
UCUGGCUGUGACAUCUGUCACCCCACUGAUCACCACAGUUGAUUCGGCUGAUCUGGCUGUGACAUCUGUCACCC